ACCCAACAUAAUGCCCACAAUAUAAUACAACCACAUUUAUUACUUUUAAUCUAAACCAUUUGCCCCAUCACAGAGUAGUACCUAGGUGAUAAAACCUCUCCAUACUGGCGCAUUACUGUACCGCAAGGGAACAAAGAAAUAAUAAUGAACAUUUAAGUACUUUACACAGCAGCGCUUAUCACACCUACCUCUUGCAUCAUGGUUUAACAAGACUUGCCCACACAAACCGCACCCUUUCAGUCUGUCCACCCGAAAUCAGGUGAGCUACCCCUGACCAACUUACCAGAGUCAACCCGUCACUGUCGCAAAAGUGUGGGACGAGUUAGGGGUAGAGGUGAAAAGCCAACCGAACCUGACAAUAGCUGGUUAUCCAACAAAUGAAUCUCAGUUCAACUUUAGAUGCCCACAUCACACUCCUACUUUAGCCCACCUUCAUCUAAAAGAUAUUCAAUGGGGGCACAGCUCCAUUGACUCAGGGAUACAACCCCAAAUAGCGAUAAAUUAAUAUUAUUUCCCCCGUAGGCCUUACAGCAGCCACCAAAUCGUAAAUGCGUCAAAGCACAACCAUAAUUUAAUACCACACAUUUAAUUGAUAUCCUAUCAUCCAUUGGAUUAUUCUAUAUUUAUAGAACAAAUCAUGUUAAAACUAGUAAUAUGAAAUAUUUCUCUCUGCACACGCAACACUUAACAAACCAACACUUAUUCUCCACACACCCAAGCUAACCAAGACCCAUACAAAUUGUAGACCCAACACAGGUGUGCGAAACCAGAUGAUUUAACCCUACAAAAGGAACUCGGCAACAAAAAUCUCAACUGUUUACCAAAAACAUAGCCUUUAGCCCAACAACUAUUAAAGGUGAUGCCUGCCCAGUGACUCAUUAAACGGCCGCGGGAUCCUCCACCGUGCAAAGGUAGCAUAAUCACUUGUCCUCUAAAUAAGGACUAGUAUGAACGGCCACAUGAAGAUUUUCCUGUCUCUUGUAGGAGAUCUAUGAAACUGAUCUUUCAGUACAAAAGCUGAAAUUUUACCACAAGACGAAAAGACCCUGUGGAACUUUUAAACGGCAACCACCACUAAUGGCUUACACCCGCUUUCAGUUGGGGCAACUACGGAAACAAACAAAACUUCCAUCACCCUAUAUAGGUGGACACACCUGUAUUUACACCCCCUUAGACCCAGUAUUACUGAUUAAAGAACCAAGCUACCCAGGGAUAACAGCGCCAUCCCCUCCUAGAGCCCCCAUCGACGAGGGGGUUUACGACCUCGAUGUUGGAUCAGGGCCCCCAAACAGUGCAGCAGCUGUUAACGGUUUGUUUGUUCAACAAUUAAUGCCCUACGUGAUCUGAGUUAAGACCGGAGCAAUCCAGGUCGGUUUCUAUCUAUGCCCCACACCUCCUACAGUACGAAAGGACCCAGGAAGUCAAGCCCAUAUUUAAAGAUAUGCUUGCCACAUAAAACUGACUUACACUAAAAUUAUAAUGAAUCUAGGACGCCUCCCGCCCUAGACAAGGGCAA
rnacentral:rRNA from 1 species